rnacentral:rRNA from 1 species
AUACGGAGGAUGCAAGCGUUAUCCGGAUUUAUUGGGUUUAAAGGGUGCGUAGGCGGAUGAUUAAGCGUGAGGUGAAAUGCCACUGCUCAACAGUGGAACUGCCUCGCGAACUGGUUGUCUUGAAUGCUCCUGCCGUGGGAGGAAUGUGUGGUGUAGCGGUGAAAUGCAUAGAGAUCACACAGAACACCGAUUGCGAAGGCAUCUCACGAAGUGGUGAUUGACGCUGAGGCACGAAAGCGGGGGGAGCAAACAGGAUUAGAUACCCUGGUAGUCCACGCAGUAAACGAUGAUAACUAACCGCUGGGUCGUAGUGAUUCAGUGGCCAAGCGAAAGCGAUAAGUUAUCCACCUGGGGAGUUCGACCGCAAGGUUGAAACUCAAAGGAAUUGACGGGG